UCUCUCUCUCUUUCGAUUCUCUUGGGCAGCAGCUGGGGGGAUUGUGAUUUGUGUUGAAUUGAGGAAUUCAAGUGGUAUUUAAAGCUUGUUCAAGGGCCCUGUUAUACGUCGAGCUGCACUUCCACUCAGGCUGACCGGCACACUUGAGCACGGAACGAGGUAAAGGAAAGGCAAAGCUGGAGGAACAGUGAGGCGGAACUCGACAUGAUUGUACAUAUCGCGGCAGUGCAACCCGGAGGGUUUCGGUCUUUUACUAUUUUGAAUUCGAAUUUGAAAAUGCAAGUCCGC